rnacentral:rRNA from 1 species
GGGCCCGCACAAGCGGUGGAGCAUGUGGUUUAAUUCGAUGAUACGCGAGGAACCUUACCAGGGCUUAAAUGUAGUUUGACCGGUCUGGAAACAGACUUUCUCUUCGGAGCAGAUUACAAGGUGCUGCAUGGUUGUCGUCAGCUCGUGCCGUGAGGUGUUAGGUUAAGUCCUGCAACGAGCGCAACCCCUAUUCUUAGUUGCCAGCGGUUCGGCCGGGGACUCUAAGAAGACUGCCAGCGCAAGCUGAGAGGAAGGUGGGGAUGACGUCAAAUCAUCACGGCCCUUACGUCCUGGGCUACACACGUGCUACAAUGGUAGUGACAAUGGGUUAAUCCCAAAAAGCUAUCUCAGUUCGGAUUGUCGUCUGCAACUCGACGGCAUGAAGUCGGAAUCGCUAGUAAUCGCUGGUCAGCUAUACAGCGG